UACGUAGGGGGCUAGCGUUGUCCGGAUUUAUUGGGCGUAAAGAGCGUGUAGGCGGCCAGGUAGGUCUGCUGUGAAAACUCGAGGCUCAACCUCGAGACGCCGAUGGAAACCAUUUGGCUAGAGUCCGGAAGAGGAGAGUGGAAUUCCUGGUGUAGCGGUGAAAUGCGCAGAUAUCAGGAAGAACACCCGUGGCUAAGGCGGCUCUCUAGUACGGUACUGACGCUGAGACGCGAAAGCGUGGGGAGCGAACAGG
rnacentral:rRNA from 1 species